rnacentral:rRNA from 1 species
GACGUAGGGUGCGAGCGUUGUCCGGAUUUAUUGGGCGUAAAGAGCUCGUAGGCGGCUCGUCGCGUCGACCGUGAAAACCCGCGGCUUAACUGCGGACUUGCGGUUGAUACGGGCGGGCUAGAGUUCGGUAGGGGAGACUGGAAUUCCUGGUGUAGCGGUGAAAUGCGCAGAUAUCAAGAGGAACACCGGUGGCGAAGGCGGGUCUCUGGGCCGAAACUGACGCUGAGGAGCGAAAGCGUGGGGAGCAAACAGG